rnacentral:rRNA from 1 species
UACGGGGGGAGCAAGCGUUGUUCGGAUUUACUGGCGUAAAGGGCGCGUAGGCGGUCGUGACAAGUCACUUGUGAAAUCUCCGGGCUUAACUCGGAACGGUCAAGUGAUACUGUCGGACUAGAGUACAGAAGGGGCAACUGGAAUUCUCGGUGUAGCGGUGAAAUGCGUAGAUAUCGAGAGGAACACCUGCGGCGAAGGCGGGUUGCUGGGCUGAUACUGACGCUGAGGCGCGAAAGCCAGGGAGCGAACGGG